CCUACGGGAGGCAGCAGUAGGGAAUAUUGCUCAAUGGGCGAAACCCUGAAGCAGCAACGCCGCGUGGAGGAUGAAGGUUUUCGGAUUGUAAACCCCUUUUGUUAGAGAAGAUAAUGACGGUAUCUAACGAAUAAGCACCGGCUAACUUCGUGCCAGCAGCCGCGGUAAUACGGAGGGUGCAAGCGUUACUCGGAAUCACUGGGCGUAAAGGGCGCGUAGGCGGUUUAGCAAGUCAGAUGUGAAAUCCUAUGGCUUAACCAUAGAACUGCAUUUGAAACUGUUAGUCUAGAGUAUGGGAGAGGUAGGUGGAAUUCUUGGUGUAGGGGUAAAAUCCGUAGAGAUCAAGAAGAAUACUCAUUGCGAAGGCGGCCUGCUAGAACAUAACUGACGCUGAUGCGCGAAAGCGUGGGGAGCAAACAGGAUUAGAUACCCCAGUAGUC
rnacentral:rRNA from 1 species